AGUAGUUUGAUCAGUGGCUACGAGGACAACGCUGGCGGCACGCUUAACACAUGCAAGUCGAACGGAGUUAUUUUGAGUUUACUUAGAAUAACUUAGUGGCGGACGGGUGAGUAACACGUGAGCAACCUACCUUAGAGAGAGGGAUAGCUUCUGGAAACGGAUGGUAAUACCUCAUGACAUACAGAGACCGCAUGAUCUUUGUAUCAAAGAUUUAUCACUCUGAGAUGGGCUCGCGUCUGAUUAGCUAGAUGGUGAGGUAACGGCUCACCAAGGCGACGAUACAUAGCCGACCUGAGAGGGUGAUCGGCCACACUGGGACUGAGACACGGCCCAGACUCC
rnacentral:rRNA from 1 species